GUUUGUUCUUUAUUAUAAAAGGAUGGAUGUCGGGAUUCUGCCAAUCCAUUUGCGUCUGAGGGAUGCUCAAGUCUCUUCAGUUGUGGGUUUUGGUUCUGUACUCCAUUGGAAGAUUUGGAAAACCAGAAGAAAUUGAAGGAAUCCUCUUUAUAGGCCUUAACAAACUCACUGUGUCACCUUAGGAAGAAGACUGUGCAAGGAGUGUCCAUGUCACUGCUGCUGUUGAGGUUGUAACCACUCAUCACCUUACCAGAUAGAGCAAUCAAAGGCAUAUGGUGAGCAGAGGCAGAGCUGGGAUCCCCAUUGUUACGGAUACCCAGUGCUUUACAAGCACCUUGGCAAAGAGGCUGCCAACAUUUUCCACCUUCUUUCCAAAGAAAAGACCUCAUUUUCUGCAAACCUUCUGGAAUUCCUUAUUGGAAGAAGCCGUGUGUUUGUGGGGAAUACUGAACAGUAAUGGGGUCAGUCAGGCCCACUGCUGGCCUGGGUUCAACACACCACAUGCUGGGGCUCACCUCUCAUCACAGCAGAUAAAGGCAUCAAGUCUGAAAGAGGAGGUUUAGCAGCUGCUCUAUAACACAGCCCUAUAGAGUGUGUAUGGUGGGACUGUACUUCACCCUCUCUUUGGCUCUCCAUUCUCCUGCAUCUCCAUCCCAGCUUUGGGACACCCAUGUCUGCAGCAGGUUCAGGUGGUAAAGCAGUGGAAUUCAAUGGAAUGGAGCUGGAAUGCUCACUGCAGCCUUGGAUAAUUUGGUUAUACAGUGAUGAUCACACCAUCCUUGCUGGCUCCCAGCUGCUUGGUUGAUACGUAGGUACUAAACCACCCAGCUAAAGCCUCGUCUUGUGCCUCCCCGUUUGUUCUCUGCAUGUCCUGUGUGGGUUUCCCAUGUCCCCUUUGCUGAAAAAGGAAGUAAAUCUAAUCUUAGAUGCAUUUAAUAAGUGAAAGCUUGGAAAAACCAAACCCAAGGGUUUAUUAGAAUCAUCGCUACAGGAUUUUGCACCUUCCCACUCUGGCCUCAGAUGCCUCUGAGCUAUUUGUUCCUUUCCUGCCUCCUUUUCUGCCUUUCCUCCUGGUGAAAUCAAACAGGAGAAGCACUUGACCGAUUUAGCCUUGUACUCUGCAGUGUCAGUAAAUAUUGGUUCAAC
rnacentral:lncRNA from 14 species